CUAUAACACAGCUUUCAAGGAUUUUCGAAAUGUAGCCAAUUGGAUAUGACGCCAUUUCCAAAAUGAUCGGUGGCCAUCUUGAAAAAAUGGAAAUUUUUGAUGGCCAGCACCUGAUUUUUUUUAAUUAUCAUUUAGUUAACCUUUAUGCCAAAUUUCAUGCUUGUAUCACGAUUUGCACAAUUAUGUCCAUAAUAUCUCCCAC
rnacentral:lncRNA from 1 species